rnacentral:rRNA from 1 species
CGUAGCAAUACGUCAGUGGCAGACGGGUGAGUAACACGUGGGAACGUACCUUUUGGUUCGGAACAACUGAGGGAAACUUCAGCUAAUACCGGAUAAGCCCUUACGGGGAAAGAUUUAUCGCCGAAAGAUCGGCCCGCGUCUGAUUAGCUAGUUGGUGAGGUAAUGGCUCACCAAGGCGACGAUCAGUAGCUGGUCUGAGAGGAUGAUCAGCCACAUUGGGACUGAGACACGGCCCAAACUCCUACGGGAGGCAGCAGUGGGGAAUAUUGGACAAUGGGGGAAACCCUGAUCCAGCCAUGCCGCGUGAGUGAUGAAGGCCCUAGGGUUGUAAAGCUCUUUUGUGCGGGAAGAUAAUGACGGUACCGCAAGAAUAAGCCCCGGCUAACUUCGUGCCAGCAGCCGCGGUAAUACGAAGGGGGCUAGCGUUGCUCGGAAUCACUGGGCGUAAAGGGUGCGUAGGCGGGUCUUUAAGUCAGAGGUGAAAGCCUGGAGCUCAACUCCAGAACUGCCUUUGAUACUGAGGAUCUUGAGUAUGGGAGAGGUGAGUGGAACUGCGAGUGUAGAGGUGAAAUUCGUAGAUAUUCGCAAGAACACCAGUGGCGAAGGCGGCUCACUGGCCCAUAACUGAC